CAGCAGCCGCGGUAAUACGGAGGGUGCAAGCGUUAAUCGGAUUUACUGGGCGUAAAGCGUGCGUAGGCGGCUUUUUAAGUCGGAUGUGAAAUCCCUGAGCUUAACUUAGGAAUUGCAUUCGAUACUGGGAAGCUAGAGUAUGGGAGAGGAUGGUAGAAUUCCAGGUGUAGCGGUGAAAUGCGUAGAGAUCUGGAGGAAUACCGAUGGCGAAGGCAGCCAUCUGGCCUAAUACUGACGCUGAGGUACGAAAGCAUGGGGAGCAAACAGGAUUAGAUACCCGUGUAGUCCCUGUCUCUUAUAC
rnacentral:rRNA from 1 species